rnacentral:sRNA from 1 species
GAUCCUAUCUAAGAUAUAGGUAUUUUAUAAAUAUGAGUAGUUUUAUUUUAUUGAUAUUGAUUUAGAUUUUGAUUCCUUCUUUCAAGAAUGUUUUACAGUUUUCACAGUACAUGUUUCAUACUUAUUACAUUUCUGCCUAAGUAUUUUAUGUAUGUAUGUAUGUAUGUAUGUAUGUAUGUAUGUAUGUAUUUACUUAUUUUUGAUACAAGGUCUUGUUAUACUGUCUAGGUAACCUGGAAUUCACAAUCCUCCUGCCUUGGUCUUUUGCACAUAGGGAUGGAAGGCACAAGAUAUUCCGGCUUAUAUUUUACUUUUUUUUAAUUAAAAAUUUAUUUAUUAUGUGUGUGUACACAGACACACAUCACAGUGUACUUACGGAUGUCAGAGGACAACUUUUAGAAUUUGAUUCUCUUUGACUAUGUGGGCCCUGAAGAUUUAACCCGGGUCAUCAGAUAAAGCAGAGGAAGUGCCUUUAUCUGCUGAGCCAUUUCAGCAGCCCUUCACUCUUUUGGAAGUGGUGUCUCCUUAUUCUACUUUGGUUUUGGUCAUUUCUGGUAUGUAAAAAUACAAAAUAUUUUAUGUUGAUCAACUUUUUAUAUCGUAUAAUUAAACAGUUUUAAAAAUGAAUCCUUAUAUUCUAAAGGUAAGAUUCUGCUCCCUGUGAAUAAUGCUCCUUCCUCAGUUCUGAAUUGUAGGACAGCAGUUUCCUUUCUCCUCACUACUCUGCUGUCACGGCUCAGCUCUUACAACAGACAUUUAUACCAAGCUCAGUGGCACAGGUCACCUGAGUGACUGAGACAGGAUGGUCAUAGAUCUUAGGUAUUUAUGAAUCGCACAACAAGCCUUGUUGAAAGGCGGAGAGAGAGGAGAGGAGAGGGGGAGAGAAAGAAGAGAGAUUGGUUGAGGUUUGUUUUCCACCGUUCUAGAAGCCGAGACUGCAAUCAGGACUCAGCAUGGCGAGGCAGUGCUAAGGGUUCGUUCUGGCUCAGAGAAGGCCGCCUUCUUCCUCUGCCUUUGUGAGGUAUCCAAUGUGUCCUUGUGUUGAAAUGGCCACUAAUCCCAUCAAGGAGCUCAGCGUUCAUGAUCUCAUCAGACCCUCAUCACUUCCCAGUGCACUGGGCAGGACUGUCCACAUUGCACUCUCAUGGUUCUGGACGCACUCCAGCUUGACACCUGAAGUCCUCAAGGGAGCUGCUGAGAGGCCUAACGUCAACUCAUCUCAGCCGACUCAUGCACCGGAACUCUGAAGCCAAGCUUUGGUGUCAUAAAUAAUCGGUUAGAGGUGUAAUGGUUCACAGAAGAACUACAGGACCUCUUGCCGUGGGCUCCUCUAUUUAGAAAGACCCAUGGAAAUGGUCCCAGUUGCAGCCGGACCGGGAAAGAAAGAGUGCUCUAAUGCUCACCCCUCUCUUCCCUGGGCUUCCCCGCCACCCUGCUGAUCUGCUGUACUGGGAACCAAGUGAAGGACUGCACAGGUCAGUAAAUGGGUAUACAGAGAAUCAAGAGCAUAGACUUAAGGCGAAGUCCAAUAAAAUAUAUCAGGUAAACACUUUCAUUUAAGGUAAUUAAGACUUUCAAAGAUAUUCCUACACUUCUUUGACUAGCUAUUUUAUUUUUAGGUUACAAAUUCUUAGUUAUUAAAUCAUUAACUAAUUAUAAGCAAAUGUCAUUAUAAAAGCUAAGUUUUAAGAUAAAGUGCAUACAUUGAAUCUGAAAGGUGCCUUUGAAUAAAUAAGUUAAAUUAAAAUUAAAAGAUUAGUGUUAUAAUGGUAUGAUUUUUUAAAAAUAAAAAUGUGUAGAAGCAGACUGUUUUUCAGUAAAAUAACAAUGUGUUCCUGGCCAAUCUAGUUCUAAAAAGCAACUGUGAACUUGAGUAGCAAUUUAGUAUUGGUUUCCUUUACAAAUAUUUCCAUAACGAAGCAAAGCUGAACAAGAAAACAGUUAAGAGCUCCAAGACUGUCUGGAAUUUCUAGGUUUAUUCUGAUGAAGAAAAUGAGCUUCUUUUUUUUUUGACUUUAAAAUUUUAUUCAUAACCAGUGACAUAAAAGAUUUAUUUUCCACACUUAGAAAGCACAGGGAUAGGGAGUUGUCUUCAGCCUGUCUCUGGCUUCUACUUUAUUCCUUGUAGCAACCUGUUUCCUGUUCUUAAUUGUCAAUGUCCCUUGAGAGCUACAGUGCCAUCCAUGCAAUGUCACAGGCAAAGCUUGGCAUCAUUUAUCAAAGAUGGAUAGCCUCAAAUGAACCAUGCAGGACCUGUUUCUAAGAAGUCUUCCUUUCAGGACUACUCUGUACAACAUAUGAGCCAUUGCCACAGUCACUAUCAAAGGAGCUGUGGGCAUAUGCAGUACUCUGAGCAUGGGUGUUUCCCCAGAAGUAACCUUGAAUGUAGUUAAAAUUUGGCAAGCCCUUUCAAACUAGUGCCUACCAUACUCCAUGUAAAUUUUAAUAUGAACCAUGGGAAGAGAGGAGAACAGAAAGGAUGGGCCUUAUCCUGGAGAAAUAAGACUUGGAAAGCUUAGAGCUUCUAAAAGUUUAAAGCUUGGUCUUGUGCUUCACUUUCCCUUUCUAACUUGGAAGUUACACAGUGGAUCUAGACAGCACUAAAGACUUUGGGAAAGGUCUUUAGUCUCUCUGGACUUAACACUCACUAACAGACAGUCUACCAUUUCUUUGGAACAGAAAUUACUGAAAUGUUACAAUUCCAAAGAAACCAAAUUGAUCUAGUCAUCCCUUUAAAAACAACAAUUUUCACUAGCGGCUUCAGUCCCUUUACAGUCCACUUGUUCUUUACUGUUUAACACUGUAACCAACAUAUCUUUUAAAAACCUUCUACAGUAAAAGAUAUUUCCACAUAAAGAUGUAAAAUAUAAAUGUUUAUGUCUUAUUUUCUCUUUGGCAACUACAGUUGCUUGAAUAGUCCUCAUUCUCCUCUAUUUAUUAGGAAAAAUAACACCCUAACAUAGGAAAACAUGUCAAAUGGGAAAAGGGAACAAUGUCAGGUACAUCCCACCUCCCACCCCUCAAUUUGGUCCCUGAGGUAGCUGUCCAUUAGUCCGUAUAAGUAUACCUGAAGUGUGUCCAUGUCACCUCCUGAGCAGCUAAACACAUAGUAGAGCUCUGUCAUUCAACCACAAAGGCCACACACCCACAUGGCUCUUUUGGGGGUAUGUGACAGUUCACUAUUAAGAGAUCCAUAUGGAGUCCUCUGUACAUUCCUCAUCGCUCGGGCAUGGCACUGUGGUUACAGAAGGCUGGUUUUCAAGUUUCAAGUUUUAAAAACUUCAAGACCCUCCAGCAUCAUCAGUAUCUGACUGUCUAACUUUUUUUGUAACUUCAAUUCCAUUCUCUUCCAGCUUCCUCUUUGCACAGUCCUGACAUGCAUUACCCAGUAAGGUGGUACUGUCUACUCGCUCAGCAUCUG